rnacentral:rRNA from 1 species
GACGAACGCUGGCGGCGUGCCUAAUACAUGCAAGUUGAGCGCUGAAAGUUGGUACUUGUUCCAAUUGGAUGAGCAGCGAACGGGUGAGUAACGCGUGGGGAAUCCGCCUUUAAGCGGGGGACAACUUUGGGAAACGAAUGCUAAUACCGCAUAAAAACUUUAAACACAUGUUUUAAUUUUGAAAGAUGCAAUUGCUUCACUCAAAGAUGGUCCCGCGUUGUAUUUACUUGUUUGUUAGGGUAAGGCUCAACAAGGCGAAGGUUCCUAGCCGAACUUAGAGGGUGGUCGGGCCACUUGGGAACGAGACACGGCUCAAACUCCUUAGGGGGGCAGCCGGAGGGGAACUUCGGCAAUGGACGGAAGGCUUAACGGGCCAAGCCGGGGUGAGGGAGAAGGGUUUCCGAUCGUUAAACUCUGUUUGUAGGGAAGAACGAUGUGUAUAGUGGAAAGCUCAUCAAUUGACGGUAACUACUCAGAAAGCGACGGCUAACUACGUG